UACGUAGGGGGCAAGCGUUGUCCGGAUUUAUUGGGCGUAAAGAGCGUGUAGGCGGCCAGGCAGGUCUUGUGUGAAAACUCGAGGCUUAACCUCGAGAUGUCAUCGGAAACCAUCUGGCUAGAGUCCGGAAGAGGAGAGUGGAAUUCCUGGUGUAGCGGUGAAAUGCGCAGAUAUCAGGAAGAACACCAAUGGCGAAAGCAGCUCUCUGGGACGGUACUGACGCUGAGACGCGAAAGCGUGGGGAGCGAACAGG
rnacentral:rRNA from 1 species